rnacentral:rRNA from 1 species
UACGUAGGGGCAAGCGUUGUCCGGAAUUAUUGGGCGUAAAGGGCGCGUAGGCGGCCACGACAAGUCACUUGUGAAAUCUCCGGGCUUAACUCGGAAAGGUCAAGUGAUACUGUCGGGCUAGAGUACAGAAGGGGCAACUGGAAUUCUCGGUGUAGCGGUGAAAUGCGUAGAUAUCGAGAGGAACACCUGCGGCGAAAGGCGGGUUGCUGGGCUGAUACUGACGUGAUGCGCGAAAGCCAGGGG